AGGUAGAGAACCACUGCUCUAAACUAACAUUACAAACAUAACAUUUUUGUGAGAAAAUGGAGGAAAACAAAAUCUACACAGUUAGGUUCUACAUACAUUGAAAUAAAAGCAGACCUUCCAUAUUAUUCUUACAGAAAUCAGUGUAAUGAAUUAUCUUAGGUACCUCUUGACUCCUGUCUCUCUGUAGGGUAUCGACUGGAGAGCAGCCAACCAUUGCAUGUUUGUCUUCUGAAGAAGCUGUAAAUGUGAGAGAUCCUGAUCAGCAUAGACCAUGAAAACAAAUGAAGACAGGGAACAUCUGGCAUUUCAAAGAGAGGAGGAUUUGUCCCCCCAAAGAACAAGGAGGGGAGGGAUGGUGGGAUGGCAAAUCUACGGAAAGAGUGCUGAGAACCACGGAGUAACACUGAGACAUUUAACAGUACGAUGAAGGCCAGUCAGGCCAUGACCAAGAUACCAGCUGCUGCAGAAGUGAAAAAUGAACGGAUGCUGGAGCAGUUAGUGAAAAACACCCUUGAGAUCAACGAAGGCAUUAAGGAGAUCCUAUGGAUGCAGAGGAAAUUACUAAAAACUCAAUUAACAACAGGAAGAAAUAUCUAUAAAACGGAGGGCAAGGUUACAACCCCAAUGCGUUCCUGCUAUGAUUCUGGCCAAAAAGAAGCCAGAAGAGGAGAAAGGGGAAAGGCAGGAAAGAAAAAGGAGAGGGGAGGAGGAAAGAAAUACAGGAAUAUGAGAGUUAGUGAAAAGGUAGAAAGGGUUGGGGGGGGGGCUGGGGGAGGGAAAGUUGGGAGAGUUAGGGGGAAGGGAGGGUAGGGAAAAGGGAUAGAUAGGUGUAAAGUU
rnacentral:lncRNA from 11 species